UACGUAGGGUGCGAGCGUUAAUCGGAAUUACUGGGCGUAAAGCGUGCGCAGGCGGUUGGGUAAGUCUGAUGUGAAAGCCCCGGGCUCAACUUGGGAAUGGCAUUGGAAACUGGCUGGCUAGAGUGCGGCAGAGGGGGGUGGAAUUCCGCGUGUAGCAGUGAAAUGCGUAGAGAUGCGGAGGAACACCGAUGGCGAAGGCAGCCCCCUGGGCUAGCACUGACGCUCAGGCACGAAAGCGUGGGGAGCAAACAGG
rnacentral:rRNA from 1 species